rnacentral:rRNA from 1 species
ACUCAAAGGAAUAGACGGGGGCCCGCACAAGCGGUGGAGCAUGUGGUUUAAUUCGACGCAACGCGAAGAACCUUACCAGGGUUUGACAUCCCCUGACCGCUAUGGAAACAUAGUUUUUCAUCUUCGGAUGGACAGGGAGACAGGUGGUGCAUGGUUGUCGUCAGCUCGUGUCGUGAGAUGUUGGGUUAAGUCCCGCAACGAGCGCAACCCCUACGUUUAGUUGCUAACAGGUAACGCUGAGCACUCUAAAAGAACUGCCGUUGACAAAACGGAGGAAGGUGGGGAUGACGUCAAAUCAUCAUGCCCCUUAUAUCCUGGGCGACACACGUGCUACAAUGGCCGGUACAAAGGGCAGCGAAGCCGCGAGGUGUAGCGAAUCCCAGAAAGCCGGUCCUAGUUCGGAUUGCAGGCUGCAAUUCGCCUGCAUGAAGCAGGAAUCGCUAGUAAUCGCAGGUCAGCAUACUGCGGUGAAUACGUUCCCGGGCCUUGCACACACCGCCCGU